rnacentral:rRNA from 1 species
AUGAAACUGAUCGGUUGGAACUGCCGGGGUCUCGGGAACGGCCUGGCAGUUCGUAGCCUCCUUGAGCUAGGGAGGUCGGAGGAGCCCGACGUGUUGUUUUUGGCGGAGACGAAGUCAACAGAGAAGGAGCUUGAAAAAUUUCGAUGGUCGUUGGGGUUAGCUAACAUGGUGGUUUGGAAUCCUGUGGGACGAAGUAGAGGUGUAGCGCUUUUCUGGAGGAGAGGUUUAAGUAUCUCGUUAAGAUCGUACGGGAGGCGACAUGUGGAUGUGGAUGUAACGGAGGAUGAUGGGAGGAUUUGGAGACUGACGGGGGGUGUACGGCGAAUCUGA